ACAUCGUGCUGGAUGGCUAUAGUACAUUGUGUCUUCAUCAAUUUCGCACGUUUUCUCACUCAACAAAACUGGUUCAAACCGUUUCAGACCGUGUAGUGUUGAUGCAGUCUCUAUUUACGUUCAGUUUUAUGUUUCAGUUUCUGUCCUCUUAAUCAUUUAAUUAUUGUUUAUGUAAAGAAGAAGAGUGUCCGAAAGCUGCUAUUGUAACCUUCCUGUGAUCCCGUGGAUAUCGCGCUGGGCGGAAACGAAUAUCUUUUUGUGGGCCACGCGUGUUUGGUAAGCUGAUCUAUCGGGUGUUCCAUGAAGCACGGAUAUGGGCCGCUGUUCUAUCUCCUGGAUCAACUGAUUUUCAUCUCUAACACCUCCAGUUACGUCUCAAUACAUGUAAUUCAACUUCCUUAAUUGUAUCUGAUAUUUAGAUCGCAUAGUUCAUUACAAUUUAACAGAUUUUAAGUAUUGUCAAUUUUUAAAAGAAUCAUAGAUAUCUAUCUAUUGAUAAUCCAAGCUAUUAUAUGUAGUAAAAGCUACAGAUUCAAAUUCAGCAAUUUAGGAUUUCAAAGGUAAUAUUAAACUUCUCUUCAGUUUCACAAUACUUAGAAUUGAAUGGUAAUCUAACAGCGGCGAUUAAAAUAGAAAUUCAAAGGCUCUCAAUGAAGUUAUUGUUCGAUAUGGUUCCGGAUGUCACAGCUGUCUCACAUACAGUAAUUAUAACGUGAAUGCAAAUGGACUUUCCAGACAGGUCAAGGCUUGGCUCAACUGGCUACGUUACUUCUAAUAUUCCUUUUUGGCUCCUUUUAUUUCCAACCGAUUACGUGUGACUUGAAUUAACUUGACACAGUUCAUGCAACUUAGAAACGAUCGUUCAAAAUAAAAAUUAAAUAUUGGCAGUACAUAAUAUGUACGUACAUUCUCAGUUGCGCUGAAAAGUGAUCUCAAGCGUAUAGCACGGUGCAUCGACGCUAGCUUGUUGAUUCACUCGAGAAAAAUCAACUACAUACAGCGUAACGUGUAUGAGUCAUCCUGGGUCACAACAAUAAUACUACUCGGAAAGAUUCUCGUUCCGCUCUGCCAGGGAAUCUUCAAAGCGUUUCCGACUGAGAAUUCAGUUGUUAGACCAGGUUCCGUAUUCUGGUUUCAUUUUCUUCAAAUAAUUUUUUUCAUUUUUACGACCCCUAUUGUAAACUUCCAAGUGUAUUGCGAUGCAAAUUCUUCGUCAAAUCAUAUUUCUAAUUAGCACGAUUUAAUAUACAGAUCUAAAAAUUAAUAAUAAUAAGAAAAUAAGAUAAUUCGGAAGUUGUGUUU